rnacentral:rRNA from 1 species
UACGGGGGGGGCAAGCGUUGUUCGGAAUUACUGGGCGUAAAGGGCGCGUAGGCGGCCUGUUAAGUCGGACGUGAAAUCCCUCGGCUCAACCGAGGAACUGCGUCCGAUACUGGUGGGCUUGAAUCCGGGAGAGGGAUGUGGAAUUCCAGGUGUAGCGGUGAAAUGCGUAGAUAUCUGGAGGAACACCGGUGGCGAAGGCGGCAUCCUGGACCGGUAUUGACGCUGAGGCGCGAAAGCUAGGGGAGCAAACGGG